GGAAGAUCGAGACUGUUUGGAGACGUUUUAUUCCCAGUAUCCAGGUGUCGCUGCUGAUGUGCAGGACCCAGGCCACGGGGAGCGUGGUCACCAGGCUGGCACUUGGUUUCCAACCCUGAAUGAACUACAGGGAGUUAAAGCGUCCAGUCUACAUUUUACUAAGAUGGCUCCUGAAAGCAUUGUGGAGAGUGGAUAGCCUGCCAGUUGCGAGGUCGUUGCAGUUAUUUAGAUUUCUCUCUCUGGGUGGCUCUUGGGAUCUGAAAACUCCGCAUGGAACUGCUGGCUCAGGGCACAGUUCUGUCUGAUGGUCUGGUUCCCCCAUGGACUCACUCUCAUCAAUGCACAG